rnacentral:rRNA from 1 species
AUUGAACGCUGGCGGCAGGCCUAACGCAUGCAAGUCGAGCGGAUGAAGGGAGCUUGCUCCUGGAUUCAGCGGCGGACGGGUGAGUAAUGCCUAGGAAUCUGCCUGGUAGUGGGGGAUAACGUCCGGAAACGGGCGCUAAUACCGCAUACGUCCUGAGGGAGAAAGUGGGGGAUCUUCGGACCUCACGCUAUCAGAUGAGCCUAGGUCGGAUUAGCUAGUUGGUGGGGUAAAGGCCUACCAAGGCGACGAUCCGUAACUGGUCUGAGAGGAUGAUCAGUCACACUGGAACUGAGACACGGUCCAGACUCCUACGGGAGGCAGCAGUGGGGAAUAUUGGACAAUGGGCGAAAGCCUGAUCCAGCCAUGCCGCGUGUGUGAAGAAGGUCUUCGGAUUGUAAAGCACUUUAAGUUGGGAGGAAGGGCAGUAAGUUAAUACCUUGCUGUUUUGACGUUACCAACAGAAUAAGCACCGGCUGACUUCGUG